rnacentral:rRNA from 1 species
GACGAACGUUGGCGGCGUGCUUAAUACAUGCAAGUCAACUGAAGCAGUGGUAGCAAUAUCGCUGUGGAGGUGGCGCACGGGUGAGUAACACGUAGGUAAUCUGCCUUCAGGUCUGGCAUAACUCCGGGAAACCGGGGCUAAUAGCAGAUGAUGCAGCGGCUCGACAUCGAGACAGUUGUUAAAGCUAUGGCGCCUGAAGAUGAGCCUGCGUCUGAUUAGCUAGUUGGCGGGGUAACGGCCCACCAAGGCAACGAUCAGUAGCUGGUCUGAGAGGAUGAUCAGCCACACUAGAACUGAGACACGGUCCAGACUCCUACGGGAGGCAGCAGUAAGGAAUAUUGCUCAAUGGGAGAAAUCCUGAAGCAGCAACGCCGCGUGAGGGACGAAGAGCUUUUGCUUGUAAACCUCUGUAGUGAGAGAAAAAAAUCCCAAUCUUUGGGACAUGAUGGUAUCUCAAAAGUAAGCCCCGGCUAACUACGUG